CUGUCCUAGACUAACACAAAGUAAUCAUUCUCUCUUUUGGGCCUUAGACCCAAUUUUCCACCUGUCCUAAAAAACUAAUAAAGUAAUAGCAAAAUUUAAUGACAAGGGCUUAGACCCAAAAUAACAAAAUACAAAAAUGAAAGAUGGGCGUUUGACCCAAUCUUUCCAAAUUUUUGAUAUGUUGCAUAUUCUUUCAAGCUCCG
rnacentral:lncRNA from 1 species